UUGGACCGUAUCAGAGGCAUCAAACUUG
rnacentral:rRNA from 1 species